rnacentral:tRNA from 1 species
GCCUGCUUAGCUCAAUCGGUAGAGCAUCAGUUUUGUAAACUGAGGGUCAUCGGUUCAAGUCCGAUAGUAGGCU